ensembl:misc_RNA Metazoa_SRP Metazoan signal recognition particle RNA
GCCAGGCAUGGUGGUGCAUGCUUGUAAUCCCAGCUACUUGGGAGGCUGAGGCACGAGAAUCAUUUGAGCCAGGAAGGCUGAGGUUGCAGUGAGCCGAGACUGCGCCACUACACUCCAGCCUGGGCAACAGAGUGAGACCUUGUCUCAA